rfam:Triticum aestivum genome assembly, contig: Triticum_aestivum_CS42_TGACv1_scaffold_653096_T_7AL-0.040288_1AL-0.024401
CUACUACUCCCUCCGUCCAGAAUUACUUGUCGAGGAAAUGAAUAAAAUUAGAUGUAUCUAGAACUAAAAUAUAUCUAGAUACAUCCAUUUCUCCGACAAGUAUUUCCGGAUGGAGGGAGUACUAG